rnacentral:ncRNA from 2 species
GGUCACGAGUGCCAGCGCUAAACCCCGGUUUGCUGGCCGGCAACCCUCCUUUCGCGGUGGGGUGCCCCGGGUGACGACCUGGUCGAUAUCAAAAGAUACCGGCAAGCGCGGACC